CUCAAGAAAAGAAAUAAUGAAGAGUGGACAUCGACUACUUCAUAUAUGGGAUGAAAUGGGAAAAGAUCAGGAGAGCCCUAAACUCACAGGGAUCCACUUAGAAUUAAAGAUUGUAUCCUGAAAUGAAAGCACCGGAAAACACAAGGAAGUGUGAGCAAGAACCAGAACUUAUUAUGUACUGUUAAUUUUAUCCAACAAAAGAGAACUGCUUUUGUUUUGAAUUCCUCUAUACUGAGUUAGUUCAGGUAGCACACUAACUCAGGGAAUAUGAAAACACAUGACAGUCAUAUGGCAGAGGAACUAAGUAGAGAUUGCAAAAUCUCUUUUUAGAGUUCAGUGUAUGACCUUAGGAAGCCCACAUGUUACUCCAAACCUAGAGACCUUCACAGUUCUAACCCUCUUAUACAAGCCAUUCUUAGCCAAUAGCUGCCUCGAUGGUUGAAGGAUUCUCAUAACUGCUAGCUGAAGUCCCAUGUUUAGCAUCAACACUUCAUAGUUCAAAUAAAUUG